AGAAAAAAAGGCAUCAACACUCAUUUGAUCAUUGUCAAACACAGUUAUAAUUUGUGACAGAGUGUGCCAAAAGAAGAAAACUUGGGUGGAUGGCUUUCUAUAUCUAGAAGAGGUAAUCAGUUCUAAUGAGUAGGUGGCUACUUUGCAUCCUUUUUUUUCCCUUGUGCAGAUUAUAUGUGUCAGUUCAGAGUGCCUGCAGUUGCCUCUGGCUGGGUUGGGGAUCACAGGCCCCCUGGGCUGGGUUUGGUGAGUUUUUCUCCAAGGCCAGCAGUGAACACUACUACACUCCACCUGAGUUCAGCUCAGAGCUCAUCUCAAAACAUGGGGAGCUGAGGAGAUUUUUGUUUCAUAUUCAUCACUGUUUUUCUCUUAUGAUUUUUUUUUUUUCACUUUAAACAGUUUAAAAAUCACGAGGAGGUGAGCAAAGAACCUGCUGUGCCCCUGGAUUCUGCAUUUACCACUUUGCUAAAGAGAGCCUAUGAGAGAGGAAGCAAUACCCUACUGGAAGGUGGUGUUCAGACAAAAUUGGCUUCCUGGCUCCCACCUGACCAGCUUUUGUUGGGAGUAAAGCAUGUGCUGUUAUACCUGAAAUCCACAGUGGAGAACUUCAGCAGGCUUGGUAAAACUUUGGGUCCUCAGCUUGUUGAUCUCUGUGUGGACCUGCUGAGCAUCUUGUUGUGCCGGGACAAUGAAAUAAAGCUGGAGCAGCAGCAGAAGCAGGAGGAGCAUCAGGCUGAUGGGAUCUCUUCAUGGAUGAGGAGCCUCUGAUGACAGAAGUGUCUUCAAAUGACAAGACCCUGGAGGAUGCACUCACCUUGAUUUUCAGACAUCCUGCACUGGAGAGCUGGUUCCUGGCGUUGGAGCUGCGCUCUAUUCCUCAG